ensembl:lncRNA
GGAUCUCCUCCGACCCCGAAGGAGAGCGGGGUGGGGGGUAGGGGGUGCGAGCGAGCCGGGCGCAGAGCGGGCGGACCUCGGCGGCGGGGCUGCAGGUGGAGCCCGGGAGCGACCGAGCCGAGGCGCCUCCUUCCUGCACGGUUCCCGGCCCCGUGCGCGCCGCCCCCGGCGGAGGUCCCAGCGGGGGCGCCUCCGGCCGGAGCCCAGCCCUCGCCUGCCCCACCCCCACAGCGGCUCUCGUAGGGGGAAGGGAAAAAAAAAAAACAAACCCGGACAGCAUUGCUGCGUUGUGCCAAAUCAGAAAAAUAAAUAAAAAUAGACGUAGUGCAGGAGCCAGUUACAAGAAAGGAUUUGCCCAUCGAUUUUCUUAAAUGGAAAAGUUUUUUAAAGGGCGAGGGUAAGUGAAUGGCGCGCCCGCCCGUUCUGUAUGACUGUAUCCGAGGUGGAUCCCCGAGGCGGCGGACGCUGCGCGCGGCCGGCGCGGGCGAAGGCGCACCUGGACCGGGGGCGCGCGGCUCUCGGCGCACGGACGCGUGGCGCAGCGGGCAAGCGCGCGCGGGGACGACGCGACGGCGUGGCGGACCCAGCGAUCGGCCGUGCAACUUGUGCGCUCGCGAGGCCCUCCACCCUCGAGGCUGCUGUUUCGUCGGGUCAGCUAGGCCACUGCCCCCAGCGGCGUCGUGGUGCUCGGCCUGUAAACCUCCGAAACCGUGAGCGCAGCCUCUCGAUCUUUCUGGUAAAUGCCCGGGUCUGAGUGGGAGCGCUGAGAAGCCCACGGAGACUGCGCACCCCUGGCUCACAGCAGCUCCGAGUUGCGGGAACACCUGCUUUUCUCUGCUCACGCACUGGGCUUCCCAGACCUCCUGGGAGGAGCAUGCGGGCAGCCUGGGUUGGCUGCCUCAGUGAGGUCCCUGGCACCACUUGGACCCUGAACUCCUGUUAUCUCGGUCUCUUUCUGCCCUGGCAACUUGCUGCUACCCCAGGGCCUCAGGUUCAUGUGAGACUGCAGGGACCCUUCGGCUUCUCUGCUCCGUGUCCUCCGGGGCACAGGCAGUGCCCCUCCUCCAACAGGAGAGCAGUCCCUCCCCACGUCCCUGAUGGUUCCACCCCAUUGUCUCUGCCCUCACCUGCAUGAUGCUAUCAGGCAAACCACGCCCCCACCUGCACAAUGCCAUCAGGCAGACCACGCCCCACCCAAACGACGUCAUCAGGCAAACCACGCCCACCUGCACGAUGCCAUCAGGCAGACCACGCCCCCACCUGCAUGACGGCAUCAGCAGGUAAAGCACUCUGGGCUGUCGCACCUUAGACACAAGCCUUCCUUUCAGACUACCCCAUCUCUCCUGUGGUUCAAAGCCAAGGUCACCGCCAGCCACCAUUGCCCCUCCGUCCUCUUCCUCAUUUGUCCCAGCCCUUGACCCCCAAGGCUGUGGCUUCAGUGUUCAGUGACAUCGGUGAGGGAAAUCUACUGAUUUUCAUUUAAUUUGAAUUCCUGAAGCAGUGAGCACGGCCUCUCCCUCCUUGGUGGAAUGUUCUGUGCUCUUCUCCAACAGACUUCUUUUUGCAUUUUGUAAAAAGAUUCAUUUAUUUAUUUAAAAGGCUAAGUUACAGUGAGAUAGAGAGGAGAGAGAGAUCUUCCAUCAGCUGGUUCACUUCCCAAAUAGCCACACAGCCAGGGCUGGGCCAGGCCACAACCAGGGGCUUCCUCCAGGUCUCACAUGUGGAUGGCAGGGGCCCAAGCACUGGGUCAUCUUCCACUGCCUUCCCAGGCACAUUAGCAGGCAGCUGGAUGGGAAGUGGAGCAGCCGGGACUCGAACUGUUGCCCACAUGGGAUGCAGCCCAACCCACUACCCCAUAGUGCUGGCCCCUCUCUUGGCAUUAUUAAAACAUUUUAUUUUCUUUUUAUUUCUUUGAAAGGCAGAGUGGCAGAGAGACCUUCUACCCACUGGUUCACGCUCCAAAUGCCCACAACAGCUGGGGGUGGGCCAGGCUGAAGCCAGGAGCCCGGAACUCAGUUCGGGACUUCCAUGGGAUGGCAGGGACCCAAGUACUUGAGCCAUCACCUGUUCUCAGCGUGUGCAUCAGCAGGAAGCCGGAUGGGAAGCGGAGGCAGGACUUGAACCCAGGCACUCCAGGGUGGGAAGCCGGUGUCCCAGGUGGCGUGGUGCCCACUGCACCACCGCACCUGCCCCUCUUCCCUUGUUUAACUUUAUUUUUCUUUUGAGACAAAUCUGAAGAUACAGAAUUGGUGAAGGAUAUUGUAACAGACGUCCCAGUUUUUCCCAUUCAGGAUGAACUUUCUGUCGUAUUUGUUUCCGGUCUUUGUUUUAAGAAAUAAAAUGUGGUAGGUGAGGCUUCA